UUUAAGGUCUAACCUGCCCAAUGAGGAUUUAAAUGGCCGCAGUAUUUUGACUGUGCAAAGGUAGCAUAAUUAUUAGUUUUUUAAUUGAAAGCUUGUAUGAAGGGUUGGACGAGAUAAAAUCUGUCUUUAUUUAAAUUAAAGUAUAAUUUAACUUUUAAGUCAAAAGGCUUAAAUGUUUAUAAAAGACGAGAAGACCCUAUAGAUCUUUAUUUAGUUAAGAUUUUAAUAAUUUAGGAUUAUUUUAAUUUGGAGUUUUAAUUAAAUUUUAUUGGGGUAAUAUAAAGAUUAAAUUAAUUCUUUUUAUUUAUGACAUUAAUUUAUGAAUAUGUGAUCCAUUAAUAUUGAUUAUAAGAUUAAGUUACCUUAGGGAUAACAGCGUAAUUUUUUUGGAGAGCUCAUAUCGAUAAGAAAGUUUGCGACCUCGAUGUUGGAUUAAAAAUUAGCUUGGGUGCAGAAGCUCAAGAUUUUGGUCUGUUCGACCAUUAAAUUUUUACAUGAUCUGAGUUCAGACCGGCGUAAGCCAGGUCGGUUUCUAUCUUUAUUCAGAUAAAAUAUUUUAGUACGAAAGGACCAAGUAUWUAGUAUAAUUAUAUUUAUUUUUU
rnacentral:rRNA from 1 species